rnacentral:rRNA from 1 species
AUUGAACGCUGGCGGCAUGCUUUACACAUGCAAGUCGAGCGGCAGUGCGGGGGCAACCCUGGCGGCGAGCGGCGAACGGGUGAGUAAUGCAUCGGAACGUAUCCUCGAGUGGGGGAUAACCCAGCGAAGGUUGGGCUAAUACCGCAUGAGCUCUGAGGAGGAAAGCGGGGGACCUGCGAGGGCCUCGCGCUGGAGGAGCGGCCGAUGUCCGAUUAGCUAGUUGGUGGGGUAAAGGCUUACCAAGGCGACGAUCGGUAGCUGGUCUGAGAGGAUGAUCAGCCACACUGGGACUGAGACACGGCCCAGACUCCUACGGGAGGCAGCAGUGGGGAAUUUUGGACAAUGGGGGCAACCCUGAUCCAGCAAUGCCGCGUGAGUGAAGAAGGCCUUCGGGUUGUAAAGCUCUUUCGGACGGAACGAAAUGGGCGGGACUAAUACUCCUGUCUGAUGACGGUACCGUAAGAAGAAGCACCGGCUAACUACGUG